rnacentral:rRNA from 1 species
AUACGUAGGGGGCGAGCGUUGUCCGGAAUGAUUGGGCGUAAAGGGCGCGUAGGCGGCGCGGUAAGUCUGGAGUGAAAGUCCUGCUUUCAAGGUGGGAAUUGCUUUGGAUACUGCCGCGCUUGAGUGCAGGAGAGGUUAUCGGAAUUCCCGGUGUAGCGGUGAAAUGCGUAGAGAUCGGGAGGAACACCAGUGGCGAAGGCGGGUAACUGGACUGCAACUGACGCUGAGGCGCGAAAGUGUGGGGAGCAAACAGGAUUAGAUACCCUGGUAGUCCACGCGGUAAACGAUGAAUGCUAGGUGUUGCGGGUAUCGACCCCUGCAGUGCCGGAGUAAACACAAUAAGCAUUCCGCCUGGGGAGUACGGCCGCAAGGUUGAAACUUAAAGGAAUUGACGGGG